rnacentral:rRNA from 1 species
UUAGCUUGCUAAGACUGAUGGCGACCGGCGCACGGGUGCGUAACGCGUAUGCAACUUGCCUCACAGAGGGGGAUAACCCGUCGAAAGACGGACUAAUACCGCGUACACUCUAUGUUGGGCAUCCAAUGUAGAGGAAAUGAAAUUCGCUGUGAGAUAGGCAUGCGUCCCAUUAGCUAGUUGGUGAGGUAACGGCUCACCAAGGCGACGAUGGGUAGGGGAACUGAGAGGUUGAACCCCCACACUGGUACUGAGACACGGACCAGACUCCUACGGGAGGCAGCAGUGAGGAAUAUUGGUCAAUGGGCGAGAGCCUGAACCAGCCAAGUCGCGUGAAGGAUGACUGUCUUAUGGAUUGUAAACUUCUUUUAUACGGGAAUAACAAGAGUCACGUGUGGCUCCCUGCAUGUACCGUAUGAAUAAGCAUCGGCUAACUCCGUGCCAGCAGCCGCGGUAAUACGGAGGAUGCGAGCGUUAUCCGGAUCUAUUGGGUUUAAAGGGUGCGUAGGCGGCCUGUUAAGUCAGCGGUGAAAUCUAGGAGCUUAACUCCUAAAUUGCCAUUGAUACUGGCGGGCUUGAGUGUAGAUGAGGUAGGCGGAAUGCGUGGUGUAGCGGUGGAAUGCAUAGAUAUCACGCAGAACUCCGAUUGCGAAGGCAGCUUACUAAGGUACAACUGACGCUGAAGCACGAAAGCGUGGGUAUCAAACAGGAUUAGGUACCCUGGUAGUCCACGCAGUAAACGAUGAUAACUGGGCGUAUGCGAUAUACAGUAUGCUCCUAAG